GUUUGGCGGCUGUGUGGUCGUGGCUUGAUUUGUUUAAAGGUUUCUGGUUCUGGGCAUCGCUCGGCUCAAUCGGCUCGGUGGUCAUGGGAACGGGGAGUUUGCCAAUGUUUCGAUGUGUUUUCCGGAUAAGGUUGGCUAGAAUCACAAUAGCAGUUGCGCAUUAUAUUUAUAUAAGACGAGAACUUAUCAGGGUAUCUCAAUUGGAACUCCAGGCACUGCCAAUUAACUCCGGCUGCCAUUUCGUUGGCUAUUUUUUCCAAUCUCCCAAUCAAAAGCCCGCAUGUUCUGGCCGUAAUCCAGCCGAAAUCAAAGCAAGCCAAACUCGUUUAUGGCCAACUUUGGACGGCGGAAUCCAGGUCUCACAAAGCCUCAGCGGCUUUUGCUGACAGGAGGAGAGGUUGGCAGAGGCGGUAGAGGCGGCAGAGGCCGUAGAAAGCCGCAACAGGCAGAGCAAAUUUCGCCGACAGCCGGCCGCUGCAAUAUAAUUUCUUUCGAUUAAUCCAAUCGAUUUCUAUUCAAUAAAUCAAAAUAUGAAUUCGU